rnacentral:misc_RNA from 1 species
GCAAACUUGGUCAUUUAGAGGAAGUAAAAGUCGUAACAAGGUUUCCGUAGGUGAACCUGCGGAAGGAUCAUUACCAAUACAAGCCGGCCGGUUUGCUGUUGCAGCUCGUUCGAAAGAGCGGUUGCGCUGUCUUCCGGUUGGUGAGCCAGCACCCGCCUCCCCGCAAGGGGCAGGUUUGGGUACCUGGUAAACCCUUUGUGAACCAAAACAAACCUUUCGCUUCGGCAGCUGGGUCCCGCUCGGGACCUGUCAGCCUGCCGCUAGCACCAAACAAAAAACUUGUUGUCAAAACAUUGUCUGAUAACCAAAUUUUCGAAUGAAAAUCAAAACUUUCAACAACGGAUCUCUUGGUUCCCGCAUCGAUGAAGAACGCAGC